rnacentral:tRNA from 1 species
GCGGGUAUAGUUCAAUUGGCUAGAAUAACAGCCUUCCAAGCUGUGUAUACGGGUUCGAGUCCCGUUACCCGCUCCA